CUUCCGGGGCACGCGGGAAACUCAAAUUUGUGUAAUGUUUAGCCCGUGAAAUACUAGACUGAAUAGGGACAAAGUGAGCCGACAAAAGAACGAACUACGACAAUCUCGAAAAGUGCCAUGUCAUCGUCCGUCAUUGCGCCUCAGUGGACGGGGGAACGAGCUCGUAUUGAAGAAACACGCUUCCAAAAUACUAAAGCUUCGUGAACCGUCAGGUGACCACCGCUUCAGCUGCGGACCCUGCACCCCAAGUUGGUGACCAUAGAGACAUGCUCUUGGAAGCGAGGAGAUGGGCCACGUCCUCUUCUGAUCACAGAUUUAUGGGAUCAUCAUGCCAACUAAUUAGAGAGGGAGGAAGAGGGAUUAGGAGAAGAGAGAGUACGUUGGAGUUCUGAUGACUAUCGUGACAGCGGGACAGAUGGCAAAAGUGAGAGGGGCACAAGUCCCACCAAGGGCUGGAGUCCAACUCUGAGUCUGAGGCAGGUACCUGCAGGUAACGUCGCCCUCUGCCUCCACUUCUCAAAGCUUACAGAGAUUCCCUAGAACUGAACCCUGGGAAGCCGGCAGGACUCCUCUAAAACAAUGAUGCUGUUAUGACUGUUCAUACUAAGCUCAUUAUGAGUGUCUUACUCCAGCACAAAGGGGAGAGACACGUCCAGCCACAGCAGGAGCCUAAUCUGAUUCCCCAGUCCUCGUCUAGACACACAACACAACAUACCGAGGUCCAGUCAUGCUGUUCUGGUUCACGGUGUCCAGCCGACCUCCAUGUUUUCAUCUGUAAACGUUAACAUGUUCAACUGCUAACUGUUUUUUCGGCUCAGAUUGUGCAAGAUCUGUUUUCGGGAUUGCAUAGUCGGAACAUCUGCUCGCCGCGUGAACACUAUUGUAUUCAUUUCAUUAAGGAAAUAUUGUUUAUGUUCUUUAAAUCAGAGAGGGAACACAACAUUCCCAAAACAAGUUCAUAACAAAAUGUACAACAGUGUAGCUGUUCUGAUACAGGUCAGAGGGCAAUCGACAGAUGGAUGAAAUAUAUCAUCACCAGGCUUAUAAAACGUUGGGAUUUCUACAUGUAAAGAGGAUGUUAAAUCAGUCAGUUGGGGUUAUGAAUGCUUUCAUUGCCUGUACCUUGUAAAUACUGAGCUCUCUUCACACUAUUUGUUCAAAGAAAAACAUUAUUCACCCCUUGAUAACUGCAUUUAGUUUUGAGUUGUGUACAAUUGGAAGGUGAAACAUUUGAAUGUAUCAAAAAUUAUUUUGUUUCCUUAGAAAUAGUUUUAUGUGUAAUAGAAAGAGACUUUUACAUUCCAUUUGGGAUUAAAUUAAUUUCUAUUUUCAUAGGAAUCUUGUUUGAAGCAAUACACUGAAUUCGGAUGGUGUAUAAAAACAACAUUCAUUCAUGUGUUUAGCAUAGAAAAAGGUGCAUCUGUCGAUGUCAAACUUCGGGUUUAAGAUGCAUUUGCGUAUUGGUAAAAUACUUUGUCUCAAUUACUUUGACGUGAACAGCUGGUUAAACGCGAGUGCCUCUUGCGCGCCCUCUACCGGCACAAAAGGGUUUUGAAGCGUGUCGAGAUUCCAAAAAUUGCAGCGUUUUAUUGAAAGAGCGUUAUUGAGCGGAGAAAAACAAAGCAGAAAUAGAUUAUAAAUAAGACUACUCAAGGACGCAAGUUGACCAUUGAAAAGCCAUUAUCUGUGCUCAUAAGUCCUUCAUAACAACAACCAAACAUUUCCCCUAAUUCGAAUCCUGGCAUUACAGAUAGAAUAAAGCAAAAGAAAACAAACCUCCAGCGCAGGACUUCAUUGUUUUCAGUUUCUCUUCAUGGACAGCAGUAGCUGUAGAAGCGCUGUUUGCAGCCACAUUCUCAUAUUGCUGAUAAAUCUUCUACACACAUCUGAAAAUGCGCUGCCUGUUGUCGCCUAUUUAACAGGGUGCACAAUCAGAUGAACUGCCACUGGAUAUGUUGCUUUUAUCAAACAAAAAGCCCCGGCAGAUGAGCAUCUCAUGAGAAAGCAUUUAGGAGAGCGUGGAUAGUAACCAUAUCUGGCAAUGACAGGGUCUUAAAUCCAAGGCAAUAACCAGAGGACGCACUGCGAAACAGUUGACAUGCUUUAUCAAAGAACUGAUACAGGUCUCCAGAACAGAAAAACAACAGUGGCUAAGGUUCUCUCUACACAUACUCAGCAUGUACUGCAUAUAAAAAUAUCAGACUCUGAAUGCAUAGGUUAAUUUCAACUGUCCCUCUAGAAACCAAGCAAACCUACGUCUUUCCUCCCACUCAACCCACAUUAUUCACUCGCUACUUCUGGACGUAAAAUAAAUCGCCGUUCUUGUCCCCCACAUUGCACUUGCCUUCAACAGUGUCCAAAAACUUCCCGCCAGAACUCCUCCGACUUGUUAAAUAACAAAAAGAAAUCUAUACAAAUUAAUACAAAAAUAUAAUAAAACAUACAAACGCAGUAAGAGCUUUAGGUAUAUGUCAGUACAGUAAACAGUUACCGCCGGUUACUUCUGAUUGUAGUUACCUACUGCAACGUUAAAAUAAGUCCAGCGUUGUGGAAUCGACAAAAGCAGCCUUGAUCAAAGCAAAUGAGCUUAUGAUAGGUUGUGUUGGAUAUGAAUAGUUGCCAGUACUGGGAUCGGCCAACACAAACGCAUGACUAGUCUGUUAAAGCUACAAAAGUGCCGUCUCUUACUACGUGACAGAACUUUGAUGGCCGAACGUCUGGAGAUACCAGGAUGAGAAUUGAAAGCUUGCGCAACUCCAAUAAGACAAAUUUUGCUAACUCUCUUAAAAGAAAAAAGAUAAAAGGUUAAACUCUCUCGGAGUAAACGUUUCUGCUCUUCACAUCUCUGCUGGCUGCAUUUAUUUUUGGUCUUGAUUGUGAUCACAGUUAAAAACAGAUGAACGGGAACUGCAACUUUUCAACAGAAGGCAUAUCGCGUCGUGUAAUUCUCGCACUACAGCUGCAUUCAGUAAAAUGAAUGAAUUGCUUCAUCAGGAAGAAUUAACAUAACUCAAAACUAAGUGGGUCGGGGGCAGGGGGCAAAUCCAGGCUGGCCAAACACCAAAGCCGAGCAAAGCCCAACAAGGAACCUGUGCAGGCAACUACUGGUUGCUCUGAGGGUCUAUAUAUGAAUCCAAGAGGAAAAGCAAGGGGGCGUUAGGCAGUUCUAGUAGGUGAGACGGGAGGCUUUCAUGUUGUAGCAGGGUCUGUCUGUGAGACCGCCAGCGCCCGAAAAGAGAGACAAGCCUUCCGAUUUCUCCAACACCACCUCCAACUCUUGAAAGUCCUGCAGCCGCGCCACGUCCUUGUCCUGGACCAGAGACACGUUAAGGCUUCCGGAUCUUCUCCACGUGCUCCGUGCUGAUGUCCAGUUCGCGACAACAGACCCUCAGAAGGGAGCGGUAGGUGAGCUCCUGGCGAUCCAGCUCCACCUCGAUGAAGUCAUUUUCCCGAGCGUGUGGGUUCUGGAUACGGACCUUUAAUACCAACUCUGUAAGAAGGAGCAGAAUCACUUACUCUAUCAUUCGUAUCAAAAUUGCUUUUUUUGGUCUCUCACCUUGAACGUUGACAGGAAAGGUGCUGGUAAAGAAGAACGGUUGGAAUGCUGGCAUAGAACCGCCUGUCUGUCCAUAGCUCAGCUGCUGGGGAACCGACUGCUGUCGGCUCACAGACGGGUUGGCAUUGGUGGCGACAGGAGCAGGAACUGGACUCCCAUUGCUGCAAGCGAGGCCAGGGCUGGAUGAGGCCAGAGGUGGUGAACACACGGUGCCAUUGUGCGCAACAGCAUGGGGGUAUUCUGCAUGGCUAACCAGGUGAGGCUCUACUGACAGGUCCAGGGGAACUGUGUGGGGAACCGUGUGAUUGUGGGAAGCAGCCGCACCGGACGAAACACCAUUUUGAUCUUUAACGGGAAUCAAGUCACCAGACAGGGUUUCUGGGCUGUAACUGACUGCGUUGGUGGGAGGAAGGUUAUCAGAGACAAGGCUUUGAGAUUUUUCAAGGGCCGGAGAGAGCGAGGACGAAUCGCUGUCCGAGCUCUGUGUGUGUUCUGCCGAGCCGUUCUGUGCCAGGUGCUGGGCAACCACGAGGUCAGACUCGCUAUGCAACUUGGAAUACAUGAAAGGCGGAUUGGACAAGUAGUUCGGGACGAUUGGCAACUCAGGCUCCUUCACUUCAGGCUCAUCCUCCACCUCCACUGUGGCCACAAAACAAAGACAUCUCUGGGUCAGGAUCAUCCAUAAUAAUCGUCUGCAAACUUGAUUUAUAAAGCAGCCAAAGUGGAGAGGUCUCACCUCCCAACAGUCUUUUUAUUUCCGGUUUGGACGUGAGUUGUGAUGCCAACUCCUCCUUAGCAGUGAGGAUUUCUUUAUCGGCUCCUCGGCUGAGUAAGUAGGAGACUAUGUGCUUGUGGUUCCGUUUGCACGCCCAGUGCAAACACGUCCUGUUGACAAUGUAAAGAGCACAAGAUUCGAAAUGAGAAACUGUGAAUGACAGCUACAUUGUGAACAAGCCAAGAUUUCAUUUUUUAAAAUGAACAGGACAACCAUGGCGAUCUGACACAUGAAGUUGCUGAAAGUAAAGAAGAAUUACAGCCCAUUUAUGGCGUUCAAAUCGUGGCUCUGAGGAACGUCGCAAUCCAACUCAAACCUUGUUCUUAACAAUGUUGUCCUGACAGGUUCUCAAGCCUGGACUUGCGUAACAGAUAGCAGUAGUACACCGGAGCACCGCUUUGCAAAUUGAAAAUACGUGUUGACUACAAAUCUAUCGU